CCUUCGAUAGCUCAGUUGGUAGAGCGGAGGACUGUAGAAUGAUUCAUAGCCAUCCUUAGGUCGCUGGUUCGAAUCCGGCUCGAAGGA